GGCCGCCUGGCGUAAUGGCAACGCGUCUGACUACGACUCGGUUAUCAGGAGAUUGCAGGUUCGACCCCUGCGGUGGUCA